rnacentral:rRNA from 1 species
UACAGAGGAGCCAAGCGUUGUCCGGAUUGACUGGGCGUAAAGCGCACGCAGGCGGAUGCGCGCGUGGGGUGUGAAAUCUGGCCGCUUAACGGCCAGGCGCCAUCCCAUACGGCGCGUCUGGAGUGAUGCAGAGGUCGGGGGAAUUGCCGGUGUAGUGGUGAAAUGCGUAGAGAUCGGCAGGAACACCCAGGGGGAAACCAGCCGACUGGGCAUCUACUGACGCUGAGGUGCGAGAGCGUGGGGAGCGAACCGG